rnacentral:rRNA from 1 species
UACGUAGGGUCCGAGCGUUGUCCGGAAUUACUGGGCGUAAAGGGCGCGUAGGCGGCCUGCUAAGUCGAACGUGAAAUCCCUGGGCUCAACCCAGGAACUGCGUCCGAUACUGGUUGGCUUGAAUCCGGGAGAGGGACGUGGAAUUCCAGGUGAUAGCGGUGAAAUGCGUAGAUAUCUGGAGGAACACCGGUGGCGAAGGCGACGUCCUGGACCGGCAGUUGA